UGCGUGCUCUGCAGCCAUUUUGUGAACCUGCAGAGAGGUGUGAGGAGGUGCAGAGCUAGCAAUUUGGUUGUUUGCUGUGGAUAUCGUUUGGACACCCCAGCAGGCUUUAUUCCAGGACAGUCAGGAGGAUUCCUGUUACCCGGAGGAGAGCCAUUUUAGGAGCUUUUACUACAUUUGUAGAGAUGUCAAAGGACAAGCAGACCCGAUCCGCCCCUUCCCCCACCCCCUCAGAUCUAUCCCUGCAUAGCAACGAGGAGUGGGAGCCAACCCAGGAGGCGGAUACGACCGACCAGGCAUGUAGUGACCAGCCGCGGUCGUCAAGGGCCCAUGAGAAGUCCAAGAAAAAGCCUAGUAGAAAGGCAAGAAGCCAGCCAGAGGAGCAGUCGGAGGAGGAAGCCUCUGGUGAAGAUGCAGGACCGAAAAAGUCGCGUGGACCCAGAUACACUGAGGCGGAAAACUGUACCCUAGUGGAUUGCGUCGACAGGUCCUACGACGUUUUGUAUGGACUAAGGGCACAGACAACAGCAGCUAGGACAAAGCGAAGCAUCUGGGAAUCCAUUGCGAGUCAAGUCACUGCAAUAUCUGGAAACCGCCGGAGCACCAGAAAUUGCUUGAAGCGGUACAGUGAUUGCCGUAGACAGACCAAGAAGAAGAUGGGGAUUCAGCGCCGACAUGAGACAGCUACGGGAGGUGGCCCGGCUCUCAACCUGAAGUGGCUAGGACAUCGCCAGCGCACG